GUUCUGCUGACACAACAUAUUCUUCCCAACCACCACCACCUCUUAUUGUGUGGGAACCUUCAGAAAGAGGAUGGGAGACUGGGGGAACCUUCAGAAAGACGACGAGCCAUAAAGGCUGCAGCAGGAGGGAGAAACUUUGCAUUGCUAGAGUGACAAGACACAGCCAAUAAUCUGCUGCUGCACUCCCACCACAGGAAACUAUUUGCCAUCCAUUUACACAAAGAUGUGCCAGGCCCAAAGGAUGGCCUGAAGGUGUCAGGUGUCAUUGCAUUUAUGAGGAUAAGCAAAUACAGAUGAGUGCUUUUGAACCCAGGUUGCCAAAUCAUGCUGCUGACUUGACAGGAUGCCCAUUAUUUUUGGAUAGCACAGCAGAAAGAAACGAACAGGACAUCUAAUCCAUAGCUGUCAGGGCUCUCUACUGAUCUCAGCCCAAUGUGGUAAAGCCAAAAAUUGAUAUCUUGCAGAAGGGAGUUUGCAGAACAUCAGAUCUUUCUGGUUAUCUUAAAGAUUACACCUAAUUACGGAACUCUAUUGUUGCCCAUUCUCUAGAUCUCUCAAGAAUCAGUUAUUAUGCAUCUUUUUAAUGGUCACACCUUGUUCUAGCAUUAAUUUCAGACCGCUUUUGGCUCAAUUUCAACAUUUCUUCCACUAUCCUACUUGGCUUACAUUUUUCUUUCUGAAUCGUUUUUUGCAAAUUCAUUUAAUUAUAGUUUAACAUUUUUCAUUUGUUUGACAUCUGAUCCAUUAAUAUGAUUGUUUUUUCUGUCCUAAAAGUCUUCUUAAGCUGUUGUUUCUUUAGCUCAUCUAAACCAUAUGUCCCACUUCUAAGUUUCAUUUUGGAUUUCAUCAUAGUCAUUGUCGGGUCAACAGAAAGAUUGACCUUUGUCAGAAAUAUUUUAUCACUUGAUGUUAAUAAUUAUUUGAUGUAAACAAUGGCCUUGUAUUGUCCUGUAUUCAAAUAUAUUGUGGGUUAAUUUAUCUACUGCCGUAUAUGUUAAAUGUGCUGUGCUAUUUCAUCAGCCUUAGGGUUUCAUUUGUUUAUUAAGGGUCUAUGUGUUUCAAGUCUUGAUUUUGUUUUUACAGUAUUAUUUUGUAUCCCAUUGCUUCUGUGUUGGAUCUGAUGUCUCAGUAAACUACUAUUAAUUUGUUUCAGUAAAAACUAGUGAUAAUGAUCCUUGAGUUCCUGCAAUUUUUGCAUGCCCAAUUAUGAUUUGCUACCUACCUGGUUCUAUUAAGCACUCAUAGUUAAGGAAAAGAGAGAACUCACCAUUUCACUUUUUGAAAGAAAAGACUUGAGAAAAAAAAACACAUUUCUCAUUUACUUUUUACAGAACAGUAUUAUUUAUAUGCAUGAAAGACAGUAAUUGAAUUUUUCUUUUUCUUUUUUUUCUUUUUAAGAUUUUUAUUUAAUAAGAAAAUAGAAAAGGGUGACAUGAUUGCAUUAACAUCUCUUGAGCUUCCAGCAGUUACAUAUGACAUAUUACAUAUGACAAUCUAAGAUUCCACUUGC